UUUCCUACGGGGGGCAGCAGUGGGGGAUAUUGCACAAUGGGGGGAACCCUGAUGCAGCGACGCCGCGUGAGUGAAGAAGUAUCUCGGUAUGUAAAGCUCUAUCAGCAGGGAAGAAGCAAGACGGUACCUGACUAAGAAGCCCCGGCUAACUACGUGCCAGCAGCCGCGGUAAUACGUAGGGGGCGAGCGUUAUCCGGAUUUACUGGGUGUAAAGGGAGCGUAGACGGCGAUGCAAGUCUGAAGUGAAAGGCGGGGGCCCAACCCCCGGACUGCUUUGGAA
rnacentral:rRNA from 1 species